CAGUAGCCGCGGUAAUACGGAGGGUGCAAGCGUUAAUCGGAAUUACUGGGCGUAAAGCGCACGCAGGCGGUCUGACAAGUCAGAUGUGAAAUCCCCGGGCUUAACCUGGGAACUGCAUUUGAAACUGUCAGGCUGGAGUCUUGUAGAGGGGGGUGGAAUUCCAGGUGUAGCGGUGAAAUGCGUAGAGAUCUGGAGGAAUACCGGUGGCGAAGGCGGCCCCCUGGACAAAGACUGACGCUCAGGUGCGAAAGCGUGGGGAGCAAACAGGAUUAGAUACCCCUGUAGUCCCUGUCUCCUAUAC
rnacentral:rRNA from 1 species